AGAGACAGCAGUCGCCGCGGUAAUACGAAGGGGGCUAGCGUUGUUCGGAUUAACUGGGCGUAAAGGGCGCGUAGGCGGAUAUUUAAGUCAGGGGUGAAAUCCCGCAGCUCAACUGCGGAACUGCCUUUGAUACUGGGUAGCUUGAGUAUGGAAGAGGUUAGUGGAAUUGCGAGUGUAGAGGUGAAAUUCGUAGAUAUUCGCAGGAACACCAGUGGCGAAGGCGGCUAACUAGUCCAUAACUGACGCUGAGGUGCGAAAGCGUGGGGAGCAAACAGGAUUAGAUACCCGCGUAGUCCCUGUCUCUUAUAC
rnacentral:rRNA from 1 species